UGGGGAAUUUUGGACAAUGGGCGAAAGCCUGAUCCAGCAAUGCCGCGUGUGUGAAGAAGGCCUUCGGGUUGUAAAGCACUUUUGUCCGGAAAGAAAUCCUUGGCUCUAAUACAGUCGGGGGAUGACGGUACCGGAAGAAUAAGCACCGGCUAACUACGCGCCAGCAGCCGCGGUAAUACGUAGGGUGCAAGCGUUAAUCGGAAUUACUGGGCGUAAAGCGUGCGCAGGCGGUUUGCUAAGACCGAUGUGAAAUCCCCGGGCUCAACCUGGGAACUGCAUUGGUGACUGGCAGGCUAGAGUAUGGCAGAGGGGGGUAGAAUUCCACGUGUAGCAGUGAAAUGCGUAGAGAUGUGGAGGAAUACCGAUGGCGAAGGCAGCCCCCUGGGCCAAUACUGACGCUCAUGCACGAAAGCGUGGGGAGCAAACAGGAUUAGAUACCCUGGUAGUCCACGCCCUAAACGAUGUCAACUAGUUGUUGGGGAUUCAUUUCCUUAGUAACGUAGCUAACGCGUGAAGUUGACCGCCUGGGGAGUACGGUCGCAAGAUUAAAACUCAAAGGAAUUGACGGGGUCAUAGCUGUUUCCU
rnacentral:rRNA from 1 species